ACAAUGUAGUUAUGUUUGAACGAGGGCAUCCUGUGUAUCUUAAUUACCUUGCGUUUUUACAUUUGUAUUUAUGCUGCAGUGAUUCAAUUGACCCAAGGACCCUCAUCAUCUUUUUGAGCUUGAUGAUCUUCAUCGCAUUUGUCACCAUUAUCAUCUGGUUUAUGUUGAAAAAGCACAAACAGGCCAAAGCUGCAGCAUCAGCCACAACGAUAAGAUUUGGUUAUUUUUUCCCAAAACUUUUCUCAAAGAAAGCUGUAAGGAUGGACAGUACACAGGCCAUUUGUUUACAACUCAAAAUGAUCAAGAAACAUAUUCUGAUGUAGAAGAUAGAUGCUUCCCUUAGAGAGAGAUAUGUAUUUCUAUGUAUAAGACAUAAUAGAGAUUACAGUCAUCAGAUAGAACAUGUACAGCUUGGGUGUAGAAUUGCAAAGUGUUCCAAUUAUUGUGGCUAAGAAAGUGCUCACAAUCCUCGCACUUUCCAAGACUUUACCUCAGGGCUUGCUGGUUCUGCUCCAGAGCAGGGUUAGCCCUGAGCUUUGUGUGGUUAUAGCUUGAAAGCAGUGGGCUAAAAAUGGCUGGUGUGAAACAGGACUACAGUAAACAGAGAUGUCAUGAAGUAUUCAAGAAUGUCACAUUGGCUGCGUGUUCCAACGAACAUUUAAGCCACGGCUAGUAAAAUUGCAUUUUAAAUUUUUCAUCCCUGGCUCAGAUUAAACCCUUGAUGAACAAUUUGUGUGUGAUAACUAUUUGACUUGAUAAAACAUUUUAAGUCAAGUCAAUGUCUAUUGUCAGUAUAAAAUGAUAUUUAUGUCACCCAAAAUCUCAACCUCUAGCCCAGGGCUAUGUUGUGUUAAAACCCCUUUUGUUGUAAAAUUAUUUGAUAUUAAUCAAAAUCUGAAAGUGAUAAUGUCAUUCAUAACUGUCUCUCCUUCCACAUGCAGACUUCAUGCACGGAGAGCAAUGUGGAUGUGAUGUACAGCUCUGUGGUUUUCAAGAGGCCAAACGGUGUCCUAGAGGUAAAUGUAAAAAAAAAACUGAGUCUCUCACUGAUUGUCACGUUGUUCAGUGCUUAUUUGUUCUUGACUAUUUAGUUGUAGGUCAAAAAAAAGUUUAGAUGUUGCUUUUUAAUUUCAUUGCUUUUUUCACCAAAUCACAAAUCACAUUGCCUCAGGGGUUUUACAAUCCGUACAGGGUCAACUCUUAGCGCAGGCUAUGCAGCGUAAAAAGCCCUUUUUUUUAUCAAAAAUGACUUGAAGUUAAACAAAAACAGAGAGUGAUCAUCUCAUUCAUAACUGUCUCUCCUUCCUCGUGCAGACUUCAUAUACUCAGAGCGAUGUGGAUGUGAUGUACAGCUCUGUGGCUUUGAAGAAGCCAAAAUGUGUCCUCAAGGUAAAUAUCAACAAAACAGAAUCACACACUGAUUAUCACAUGUUGUUCAGUAAGUGUUUCUUUCUUCCCAAAACAUAACAUUAUAUUUUUGUUUAUCUUAUUACAUUUUUUUUACGUCUUUUUUCCCCGCAGGCUGAAGCAAAUGAUGACAGUGUUACAUACAGCACAUUGGCUUAGCACCAGCACAGCCUUCAGCCAUGUUUCCUCUUUUUUUCUGUCUAUGUUUUAGUCUAAUUAGAUGAGUUCUUUAAGUGAUAGUGUUGGAUUAUGUUAUCUGACGUAAUUAUUCGGUUGUGCAGUAACUUCUCUCUACUUCGGUUUUACACCUUCUCUCUACUGGUUCCUCUUAUGCAUUUAAAAGAAGCUUUGCCCUGUUUGCUUAUAUGGUGUUAAAGGUCACAUUAAGUUUGCAUGUGUUUGCAUUUAUAAGUGCAUGUGUCGGAGCACUGUUUAGCUCAGUUGAGCUAAACGGCGCUCAUCCUAUUUUCUGUAAUGUCUUCAAGUUGUUCUAUCAAUAAAGUCAUAAAGGCCAAAAAAAUAUUCUUUAAAAAAUAUGUGUGAGCUCUAAACUCAUAAAUCUUCAUCGGUCAGUCUUGUCCUCUCUUCAUGACAUGUUUAUCGUCAAACAAAGCUGCUACACAAAAUCGAUGAUUCUGUAGAGCCAGAUAGUGCAGAUAUCAGCUGCUUAGUGAAGACUCGUAGAGGUUUCUGGAUCUACAGUCAGCUAAAAUAGAAAUACUGUCAACAGAUGAAACAAACGGCACAAAGUGAUAGACGGCUGCUUUACAUUGCGCAUCUUUUAACUACUGUUGUAAAAUAGGGUAUAAAUAGACUUGCUGUGAAAACCAUCUGUGAACACCAACACCAAUGAGUCACGCUCGGGACUUUUGUUGAAUCUCCGCCUCGUUUUUUUCUGUUCACUCUCUUCUGCCUGUGAUAAAGACGUUAAAAGCCUCUCAAAAUACUUCUCCUUGAGCGAGACUUGUGUUUCUGUUUACAAAGGCAUCUUAUGAACAAAACGGUCCAUCUCCUUAGGAAUUGUCUCUGUAAUGUUGUCAGACACUUGGAUAAACAACCUCAGCCUGUCAGUAGCAAAACAAACAGUUUGAGAGAUGGCAGUGACAUUCAAAUAUAAAUAUUUUAAGGGGCUUUUUAUGACUUUAUCACAGGUAAUAGAGAGUGAACAGAAAAUGGGCAAGAGAUGCAAAAAAAGGUCAAAGUUAUGUCCACUAAAAUUAAGCGUUAAUACGGAGAAAUGCACAAAUGGGAGCGAAGAGAUUGAUUCCCUAACCCUGCCUGGUUUGUUUAUGACACGGCAACAGCAAUGCUCAUUACAUCAUGUCUUUAAACCACCUUAAAGUGCCCUCUCAUACAGUAUGUAUAUACCAAUCAGCUCACAGACUUACAGCCAUGGCCAUUUCUUUUCGCUCAGAAGAGUUCACCAGAGGGCCUGGAGCUCCACCUGCUUGUCGGUCAGGGGGAGCUGCGACCAAGAUUUUCUCUUGUGAUAUUUCAGAGCAAGACUUCUCCUG
ensembl:lncRNA